GAUGAACGCUGGCGGCGUGCCUAAUACAUGCAAGUCGAGCGAACAGACGAGGAGCUUGCUCCUCUGACGUUAGCGGCUGACGGGUGAGUAACACGUGGAUAACCUACCUAUAAUACUUGGAUAACUUCGGGAAACCGGAGCUAAUACCGGAUCAUAUAUUGAACCGCAUGGUUCAAUAGUGAAAGACGGUUUUGCUGUCACUUAUAGAUGGUUCCGGGCCGCAUUAGCUAGUUGGUAAGGUAACGGCUUACCAAGGCGACGAUGCGUAGCCGACCUGAGAGGGUGAUCGGCCACACUGGAACUGAGACACGGUCCAGACUCCUACGGGAGGCAGCAGUAGGGAAUCUUCCGCAAUGGGCGAAAGCCUGACGGAGCAACGCCGCGUGAGUGAUGAAGGUCUUCGGAUCGUAAAACUCUGUUAUUAGGGAAGAACAAAUGUGUAAGUAACUAUGCACGUCUUGACGGUACCUAAUCAGAAAGCCACGGCUAACUACGUG
rnacentral:rRNA from 1 species